rnacentral:lncRNA from 1 species
AAAUCCGCCUAAAUCAGCCUAACUCUCACAAAGUGAGAAUUCUCUUGGAAAUUUUUCGAGACAUCAAAAAAUAUAGCGAAAGCGAACUCGUAACAAAGGAGCAACGAGAGAAUUGAAAAAGCCACAAGAAAGCAAUGUACACCAAGUGUUUGAGUAAAUACUAUCAAAUAUAUUAUUUAACUAUGAAUGCAAUUGUAAAAUCCAAAUUCUGCCCGGGCCCAUUAAAACCAAACUACAAUAUAAAAAUACAAAUAAUACAGCCCAAAUCAAAUAAUAUCAGUCCAAAAAUAAAAAAACAAUAAUAAUAACCAAAGUUCAGUCCAAAACCCAAAUAAAUAAAACCCAAACUCAAUAAACCCAACAAACC